rnacentral:tRNA from 1 species
GUCCUUGUAGUUCAAUGGAUAGAACGAGGGGUUCCUAAUCCCUAAAUGCAGGUUCGAUUCCUGCCGAGGACA